GACUGAACCAGGACUAGACCAGGACUGAACCAGGACUAGACCAGGACUAGACCAGGACUAAACCAGGACUAGACCAGGACUAAACCAGGACUAGACCAGGACUAGACCAGGACUGAACCAGGACUAGACCAGGACUAAACCAGGACUAAACCAGGACUAGACCAGGACUAAACCAGGACUAGACCAGGACUGAACCAGGACUAGACCAGGACUAGACCAGGACUAAACCAGGACUAGACCAGGACUAAACCAGGACUAGACCAGGACUAGACCAGGACUGAACCAGGACUAGACCAGGACUAAACCAGGACUAAACCAGGACUAGACCAGGACUAAACCAGGUCUAAACCAGGACUAGACCAGGACUAAAC
ensembl:lncRNA